UUUUCGCCUGUUAUUUAUAGGAUGAGAACCUCCGAAGGAGGUUUGAGCCGAGCGCAGCGAGACCACGUUGCUUUAGCAACGGCCCGCAGGGCAAGCAUCAAAGAUGCGCGUAAUCCUCUCUCGCCGACCA
rnacentral:sRNA from 1 species